rnacentral:rRNA from 1 species
UACGUAGGGUGCGAGCGUUUAAUCGGAAUUACUGGGCGUAAAGCGUGCGCAGGCGGUUCGUUGUGUCGGUGGUGAAAGCCCCGGGCUUAACCUGGGAAUGGCCAUGGAAACUGGCGAACUGGAGUGUGGCAGAGGGGGGUGGAAUUCCGCGUGUAGCAGUGAAAUGCGUAGAGAUGCGGAGGAACACCGAUGGCGAAGGCAGCCCCCUGGGCUAGCACUGACGCUCAGGCACGAAAGCGUGGGGAGCAAACAGG